GACGAACGCUGGCGGCGUGCUUAACACAUGCAAGUCGAACGGAAAGGCCCUGCUUUUGUGGGGUGCUCGAGUGGCGGACGGGUGAGUAACACGUGAGUAACCUGCCCUUGACUUUGGGAUAACUUCAGGAAACUGGUGCUAAUACCGGAUAGGAGCUCCUGCUGCAUGGUGGGGGUUGGAAAGUUUCGGCGGUUGGGGAUGGACUCGCGGCUUAUCAGCUUGUUGGUGGGGUAGUGGCUUACCAAGGCUUUGACGGGUAGCCGGCCUGAGAGGGUGACCGGCCACAUUGGGACUGAGAUACGGCCCAGACUCCUACGGGAGGCAGCAGCGGGGAAUAUUGCACAAUGGGCGGAAGCCUGAUGCAGCAACGCCGCGUGCGGGAUGACGGCCUUCGGGUUGUAAACCGCUUUCGCCUGUGACGAAGCGUGAGUGACGGUAAUGGGUAAAGAAGCACCGGCUAACUACGUG
rnacentral:rRNA from 1 species